rnacentral:rRNA from 1 species
GAUGAACGCUAGCUACAGGCUUAACACAUGCAAGUCGAGGGGAAACGACAUCGAAAGCUUGCUUUUGAUGGGCGUCGACCGGCGCACGGGUGAGUAACGCGUAUCCAACCUGCCCACCACUUGGGGAUAACCUUGCGAAAGUAAGACUAAUACCCAAUGAUAUCCCACGAAGACAUCUGAAUGGGAUUAAAGAUUUAUCGGUGAUGGAUGGGGAUGCGUCUGAUUAGCUUGUUGGCGGGGUAACGGCCCACCAAGGCAACGAUCAGUAGGGGUUCUGAGAGGACGGGCCCCCCAAUUGGAACCUGGACACGGUCCCAACUCCGACGGGAGGCAGCAGUGAGGAAUAUUGGUCAAUGGGCGAGAGCCUGAACCAGCCAAGUAGCGUGCAGGAAGACGGCCCUAUGGGUUGUAAACUGCUUUUAUAAGGGAAUAAAGUGGGUCACGUGUGACUUUUUGCAUGUACCUUAUGAAUAAGGACCGGCUAAUUCCGU